AAGACUAUACUUUCAGGGAUCAUUUCUAUAGUUUCUGACUUGAGAAAUGUGCUUCUAAAGUGUAUGGUCUCGCUAACCACGAUGAUGAGUUGUGAUAUUUCCUUCUGAGCAUGAAGCUGACAGUGAAUAAUGAUUCAUUUCAUCAUAUGUUCUCUGUCAUUGAUGAUUGUUCUUUGCUUCUUAAUGGAGCAGGGAUGAAGGGAAUAUGUUCAGAGUGGU